CAUUAUUUAUUCAGAAUUUUUUUACAAAUUUCUUACUGCUAACUUAUCUACGAGUCUUAAUUCUAACAUCUUUAGAGUGUUUUACACUCUGUGCACGCUGACAUCCCUGACUUAAUCUACCUUAACCUAAUGUGGGCACAUUAGGUUAAGACCCUAAGUUUAGACCUAAAUCUAAUACAACUUCUCUUGCUACCUAAGCUAACUUACAGCUAGUCCUGGUCCUCUAGGGACUCCAUGGGGGAUGUGGUCUACAAGUAAGGGCACGUGCAAGUACAAGAGUUUAUAUGAACUUUUCUUUUUAAAUGCGUCAACGUUAUAAUUUUAUUGGGCAAUAUUAAUAAAAUUUCUAUAUUACUCAAAUAAAUUUAUCUAAAGCUAACAGUUCCCACCCUGUGAAAUUCAAACAAUUAAAAUGCAUAUAAUAAAUUCAAAUUACCCGCUUAGUGUGUACACGGAUUACAUCCGGCUAUAACGUGACAUUCGAGAGUGACAAUGAGAGCGGACCAAUGAGAAUCAUCUUUCACGCAGUGCUGCUUGGCGGUAACGCCAAACCUCUCAGAAUUUCUGAAAAGCUGCAAAGCUUAUAAUUGAUUGGUUAUUGGCAUAAACAAAUUAUUAUGUGCUAUUACACAAAUCUUGAUUUUUUAAAUUACCUAUACGAAUGUAGAUUUGUUAUUUACUACAAUACGCAGCAAGACAAAAUUUAGAUAUAUACCAUAUUUAGAUAAUAUCGGUUUAUCAGUGAUGUCAUAUCCGGGGUGUGACAAUUCAGCAAUUUUCCAUGUUUAUCUCAGGUUACGUGCAUUACGUGUUUUUCGAAAACUUGAGAAUAUUGAAAAUCCAUAUAAUCGAUGCGAAAAAUAAAUAUGACUCAAAAUAUAAAAACCGUGCUUGUGCCUCAGUGUUAUGAUGUGACGGAAAUUACGGUAUAAUUAUGGCUUAAAACCCCGCAAACAUCUAAAGGUGAUACCGCUGUUCUGGACUUGAAGCAUUGAAGACGCUAGGAAUCACGUGAGAAAACCACACACGAAAAAUGUUCGCAUAAGAUAUGGCAAAAAUGUAUAGGUAAUGUCGCUUUUGUGGACUUGAAGCAUUGAAGAUGCUCGGGAACACCAGAUCUCCAGAUCCAGUGAGAAAACCACACACGAAAAAUUUUCGCAUUAGAGACAAGAUUCUGGAUAAACAAAAACGUCAUCGAAUUUUGAUAUAAAAGACCGUCUGAUUUGUCCCCAAAUAAGACACUCUACAAACUUCAGUCGAGACACAUCGCGGUCGUGCA